rnacentral:rRNA from 1 species
UCUCGUAGGUGACCUGCGGAGGGAUCAUUACCAAAGAUGGCGGGCCUUCGGGUCCCCGUCCCCAACCCUUUGUUGACCCAAAACCUUUUUGCCUCGGGGGCAGAGCGUCCGCCGCCGCCCCCGGAGGACCACCGAACGCUGUCUCUUUACGUCGGAGUAUUGAUUUAAAUAAAUGAAAACUUUUAACAACGGAUCUCUUGGUUCUGGCAUCGAUGAAGAACGCAGCGAAAUGCGAUAAGUAAUGUGAAUUGCAGAAUUCAGUGAAUCAUCGAAUCUUUGAACGCACAUUGCGCCCUUUGGCAUUCCGAAGGGCAUGCCCGUUCGAGCGUCAUUAAAUCCAAUCAAGCCUGGCUUGGUAUUGGGCGCCGGGGACUCCCCGCGCCUUCAUUUCACCGGCUGGCCGUCGCCUGUCUUAGCGUUGUGGUACACUCCUCGCUAGCGAUAGGAACGGAUCACGCCGUCAAAACCACAUAAAUUUCAACUCGAAAUUUGAUUAAGGUUGACCUCGGAUCGGGUAGGAAUACCCGCUGAACUUAAGCAUAUCAAUAAGCGGAGGAA